rnacentral:lncRNA from 1 species
UUCCCAGGCUAGGGGUCAAAUCAGAGCUGCAGCCGGUCUACACCACAGCCACAGCAACACGGGAGAUCCGAACAGCAUCUGCGACCUACACCGCAGCUCAGGGCAAUGCCGGAUCCUUAACCCACUCAGAGAGACCAGGGAUUGAACUCACGUGCUCGUGAAUCCCAGUCAGGUUCGUUACCACUGAGCCAUGAUGGGAACUCCUGCAGUCAGAUUCUUAACCCACUGUGCUGCAGCAAGAAUUCCAAUUCUUAUUUCUUUUUAAUGCGGCUCUAAUUACUGUAGAAAUGAAACUUGAAAGCAAUGAUGGAAAAGUUUAGGGAUCUGAUAAAAAAGAAAUUCAUCUCCUGAGACUUUAAGACAUUUUCCUCUACUGGAUAACUUUCUCCAGCGUGGCCUUUUCUCGACUGAAUUAUAGUCAAUAAUUCCAUACCCCAUUAAAUAAUUCUUCGGCUCUUAUCGUGUGUCAAGAGCACUAUGUGGAAUACAAAGACCAGACUCAUCUUUCGUCCUUGUGAGGACCCCAGUCUGCUCAAGGGAAGAGGCCGUAGAUCGAUUGUGGGGAACCAAGUAACUUCUGGGGAGCUCCCGUUGCGGUUCAGUGGGUAAAGGGCCCAGCUAAUAUCCAAGAGGAGGCAGGUUUGAUCCCUGGCCUUGCUCAGUGGGUUAAGGAUCCGGUGUUGCCCUGAGCUGUGGUGUAGGUCACAGAUGUGGCUCAGGUCUGGCAUUGCUGUGGCUGUGGUGUAGGCCUACAGCUGUUGCUCUGAUUCAACCCCUCACCUGGGAACUUCAUAUGCUGCAAAUGGAAGGCCCUAAAAAGCAAAAAAAAAAAAGGAAAAAAAAAAAAAAAAAGAAAGAAAAGGAAAAGGAACUUCUGGACACAAACUCGACCAGGACAACCCAUGAUUCGAGCACCACCCUCGCUGGACUCUCACCGCUGCCAUGACUGACCAACAUCUGCCAGGAACGGAUUUGGUCAGAGCUGAGUGCUUCGGAUGAAUGGAUCGGAUUUAUCUCUGUUUCAGAAGAACAGGCGCAAGGCGGGUAAAUCACGUGUCCGAGGUCACAGAGCUGGUCGGGGGGAGAGACGGAGCUGACGCCGCGUCUGGAUGACUCCAGAGCUAGAGUCACGUCGUCACAGACCCUCGGGACAGCAAGAGCCUCCCCAGAAAAGCGCGGGACUCGUGACUCUCUCCCUCCUUCCAAAGCUGAGCCCUAAAUGACCUGUGUUUAAGGUGUGCCUGGGGCCACGGGCAUCAGCUUUCAAAUCUUGACUUUCUUCCCCUCCCGUCAACAUGAGCAGUCACGUUGGUCCGUGACUGAACAGUGCCUCACGAGGUUAGAGUCUGGCUUACAAACUGGCAGCUCAAUUGGCAUCCUGGCAUUUAUUGGGGCCACAUGGAGCCCGAGGUACCAAGGGAUGGGAGUACAUUUGGGCCUCAAUAGCACGCUCUGACUAAACCAAUAUUUGCACCAUCUCGGUACUAACUGCCCGACAGCAGGGACACCUGCAGAGGACUAAACGCGAGCCGUGUCCGGAUCCAGAGCCGAGUCCUCCGCAAACGGCACAUGGCCGUGCCCCACAGUCACCGUGUGGAGGACAGCUUCCUCCCAUCCCCUGCCUCGCAGGACUGCUCACGUGGCACAGGAGACGACUAAUGCCACGGGCGGACCGCCGAGAGCCCUGCAAGAGAGACAGCGCCGCCCGUCAGUGGGCGAGAUGCUGACGAGGAAGAUGGUGGUGAUGGAUCGGCUGUGACCAGGGACACGCGCUGUCACAGAGAAAGGCUCCCGGCAGUUGAGACCGAAUGGAUCUCUAGACCACACAUUUCCUUGAUUUAUGCUUUCAAAUUGUGUGCUCUUAGGAUCAUUUGAAGUCACUAGAGACACUAAUGAAUGAUGCUAGAUUCUGUCCUAAUAUCACCAAAGGGCAAGAGAGAUGCUUAGGUUGUUUUUGUUUUGUUUUACAGCUGCACCUGGAACUGGCAUAUGGACGUUCCUGGGUUAGGGGCUGAACUGGAGCUGCAGCCGAGGUCUAAGCCACAGCCACAGCAACACCAGAGAGGAGCCAUGCAGCUUUCGGCAACACAGGACCCUUAACCCACGGAGCGAGGCCAGGGAUCAAACCCGCAUCCUCACAGAGACAUCGGGUCCUUGACCCACUGAGCCACAAUGGCAACUCCAGAUUUUUUUUGAGUCCCCACCAUUCGCCACUCCUGGGCGGGAUGGGGACCAGCCGGCCAUGGCCUUUGACCUGUGCCAUUUCCGGUCUGUCCAGCACUACAGAGAAACUCUAACGAGCGGGUCACACAGAUACCCCUGAAGUUAAAGUCUGAGAUGUCCUCUGGAGGAAAGGGACUUAGGGCCGGAAGAUGAUGCGACAAGGGAGCUGACCCAGCUCUGGGUCAGGAAGGCCCUCUGGGGGAGUUAUAUUUGAGACGAGAUCAGGAGAUGGAGAAGUUGGCCAGGCCACCGUGGGGAGAGGUGGCGGGCGUUAGAGAAAGGGGCGAGGCCUGAAAAUAAUAUGUUAUUCCCCAAAUAUGAAAGCAAAACUGCAAAGUCGAUGUUUCAUAAAUGCAAAUAAAAUAAAACACAUUGCUAACUGUCUUAGAGCCAAGCACUCAUAGAUCUUUCACUUUGGGAAAAAAAUGCGUAGGUUUAGAUGCUUUCAUUUGAUGAGACUCCUCAAGCACAUGGAAGACGGCUGAGAAAUCACAGGCAUUCAAAUUAAAGCAGUCACGCAGGGUCAAUUUCAAAAUUAUUUGAGAUAUGAAAAACUUUAAAAUACUUUUUCUACUAAAAAUAUUUAAUACAUCAUGUGGGUGGACAUUAAUGUUUGAUAUAUGAGCUGGGAGCCUUCAAAAUAAAAAUAUGGGCCUCCAAGGCUUGACACAGCUGGAGGACACCGGUGCCGCCCAAGCUCAAGGGUCGGGGUGGGGGUUGGUAGAGGGAGGGGGAUGGGGAGGCUGGGAGGUGGGAAGGGCAGGGCCAGGUCACGCAGAAGGAUCCAGGUUUUAUUCUUUUUUUUUUUUUAAGGGCCGCACCCACGGCAUUUGGAAUUUCCCAGGCUAGGGGUCGAAUCAGAGCUACAGCUGCCAGCCUACCCACAGCCACAGCAAUGCCAGAUCUGAGCCACAUUUGCAAUCUACACUGCAGCUCAAGGCAAUGCUGGAUCCUUAACCCACUGAGCGAGGCCAGGGAUCGCAUUCUCAUGGAUCCUAGUCCAUGAUGAACAAACUCCUGCAUCUGGCCUGGGGCUGCUGAGCACAGGUGCACAUGUUGCAUACUGCACAAGAGCAUCUGGGAGGGGGGGAGAGCAAGGGCUGAAACCCAACCCUGCUCCUCCCACCCUGCUGUGCAUUCCCACCUAUAAUCUACACAAGGCCUUGCUAGCAGCAGCCCCGCCCUCUCUGGGUUCAGCCUGGCCGUGGUCCCCAGCACCACACCCACAAUGGGCUCUUACUGGUCUCCAGCAAUGGAGCGCUAGCUUCUCUGCCUUUGGGAGAACUCUGUCCCCCAAAGCAGUUUGCAGCUCUCCUCCCCUUCCUUCCACGUCCCCAUGUGGGACAUGGGUCUUC